rnacentral:rRNA from 1 species
GACGAACGCUGGCGGCGUGCCUAAUACAUGCAAGUUGAGCGCUGAAGGUUGGUACUUGUACCAACUGGAUGAGCAGCGAACGGGUGAGUAACACGUGGGGAAUCUGCCUUUGAGCGGGGGACAACAUUUGGAAACGAAUGCUAAUACCGCAUAAAAACUUUAAACACAAGUUUUAAGUUUGAAAGAUGCAAUUGCAUCACUCAAAGAUGAUCCCGCGUUGUAUUAGCUAGUUGGUGAGGUAAAGGCUCACCAAGGCGAUGAUACAUAGCCGACCUGAGAGGGUGAGCAGCCACAUUGGGACUGAGACACGGCCCAAACUCCUACGGGAGGCAGCAGUAGGGAAUCUUCGGCAAUGGACGAAAGUCUGACCGAGCAACGCCGCGUGAGGGAAGAAGGUUUUCGGAUCGGAAAACUCUGUUGGUAGAGAAGAACGUUGGUGAGAGUGGAAAGCUCAUCAAGUGACGGUAACUACCCAGAAAGCGACGGCUAACUACGUG